GGAAGGUGGGGAGUGACGUCAAGUCAUCAUGGCCCUUAUGUCCAGGGCGACACACGUGCUACAAUGGCCGGCACAACGGGAAGCGAGUUCGCGAGGACGAGCGGAUCCCUCAAAGCCGGUCGCAGUUCGGAUUGAAGUCUGCAACUCGACUUCAUGAAGCUGGAAUCGCUAGUAAUCGUGGAUCAGCCAAGCCGCGGUGAAUACGUUCCCGGGCCUU
rnacentral:rRNA from 1 species